rnacentral:rRNA from 1 species
AGUGAACGCUGGCGGUAGGCCUAACACAUGCAAGUCGAACGGCAGCACAGUAAGAGCUUGCUCUUACGGGUGGCGAGUGGCGGACGGGUGAGGAAUACAUCAGAAUCUACUUUUUCGUGGGGGAUAACGUAGGGAAACUUACGCUAAUACCGCAUACGACCUACGGGUGAAAGCAGGGGAUCUUCGGACCUUGCGCGAUUGAAUGAGCCGAUGUCGGAUUAGCUAGUUGGCGGGGUAAAGGCCCACCAAGGCGACGAUCCGUAGCUGGUCUGAGAGGAUGAUCAGCCACACUGGGACUGAGACACGGUCCAGACUCCUACGGGAGGCAGCAGUGGGGAAUAUUGGACAAUGGGCGCAAGCCUGAUCCAGCCAUACCGCGUGGGUGAAGAAGGCCUUCGGGUUGUAAAGCCCUUUUGUUGGGAAAGAAAAGCAGCAGGUUAAUACCCCGCUGUUCUGACGGUACCCAAAGAAUAAGCACCGGCUAACUUCGUG